rnacentral:rRNA from 1 species
GACGAACGCUGGCGGCGUGCUUAACACAUGCAAGUCGAACGGUAAGGCCCUUCGGGGUACACGAGUGGCGAACGGGUGAGUAACACGUGGGUGAUCUGCCCUGCACUUCGGGAUAAGCCUGGUAAACUGGGUUUAAUACCGGAUAGGACUCCUGGCUUCAUGGCUGGCGGUGGAAAGCUUGUGCGGUGUGUGAUGGGGCCGCGGCCUAUCAGCUUGUUGGUGGGGUGAUGGCCUACCAAGGCGACGACGGGUAGCCGGCGUGAGAGGGGUGACCGGUCACAAUGGGACUGAGAUACGGCGCAGAGUCCUACGGGAGGCAGAAGUGGAGAAUAUUGAACAAGGGGCGCAAGCCUGAUGCAGCGACGCCGCGGGAGGGAUGACGGCCUUCGGGUUGUAAACCUCUUUCAGCUAUGACGAAGCGCAAGUGACGGUAGUAGCAGAAGAAGGACCGGCCAACUACGUGCCAGCCGCCGCCGUAA